rnacentral:rRNA from 1 species
UUACCAAGGUUUCCGUAGGUGACCUGCGAAGGAUCUUAAUGAAUUUGGAGGCUGUCGCUGGCUAGGUGAUUCUAGCAUGUGCA